ACGAACGCUGGCGGCACGCUUAACACAUGCAAGUCGAACGAGAGAAGAGAAGCUUGCUUUUCUGAUCUAGUGGCGGACGGGUGAGUAACACGUGAGCAAUCUGCCUUUCAGAGGGGGAUACCGAUUGGAAACGAUCGUUAAUACCGCAUAACAUAAUUGAACCGCAUGAUUUGAUUAUCAAAGAUUUAUCGCUGAAAGAUGAGCUCGCGUCUGAUUAGCUAGUUGGUAAGGUAACGGCUUACCAAGGCGACGAUCAGUAGCCGGACUGAGAGGUUGAUCGGCCACAUUGGGACUGAGACACGGCCCAGACUCCUACGGGAGGCAGCAGUGGGGAAUAUUGCACAAUGGAGGAAACUCUGAUGCAGCGAUGCCGCGUGAGGGAAGAAGGUUUUAGGAUUGUAAACCUCUGUCUUCAGGGACGAAAAAAGACGGUACCUGAGGAGGAAGCUCCGGCUAACUACGUGCCAGCAGCCGCGGUAAUACGUAGGGAGCGAGCGUUGUCCGGAAUUACUGGGUGUAAAGGGAGCGUAGGCGGGAUCGCAAGUCAGAUGUGAAAACUAUGGGCUUAACCCAUAAACUGCAUUUGAAACUGUGGUUCUUGAGUGAAGUAGAGGUAAGCGGAAUUCCUAGUGUAGCGGUGAAAUGCGUAGAUAUUAGGAGGAACAUCAGUGGCGAAGGCGGCUUACUGGGCUUUAACUGACGCUGAGGCUCGAAAGCGUGGGGAGCAAACAGGAUUAGAUACCCUGGUAGUCCACGCCGUAAACGAUGAUUACUAGGUGUGGGGGGACUGACCCCUUCCGUGCCGCAGCAAACGCAAUAAGUAAUCCACCUGGGGAGUACGACCGCAAGGUUGAAACUCAAAGGAAUUGACGGGGGCCCGCACAAGCAGUGGAGUAUGUGGAUUAAUUCGAAGCAACGCGAAGAACCUUACCUGCUCUUGACAUCCCAUUCGAUAGAGGGUAAUGCCUCUAGCCCUUCGGGGGAAUGGAGACAGGUGGUGCAUGGUUGUCGUCAGCUCGUGUCGUGAGAUGUUGGGUUAAGUCCCGCAACGAGCGCAACCCUUACUGUUAGUUGCUACGCAAGAGCACUCUAGCAGGACUGCCGUUGACAAAACGGAGGAAGGUGGGGAUGACGUCAAAUCAUCAUGCCCCUUAUGACCUGGGCCUCACACGUACUACAAUGGCUGUCAACAGAGGGAAGCAAAGCCGCGAGGUGGAGCAAACCCCUAAAAGCAGUCUUAGUUCGGAUUGUAGGCUGCAACCCGCCUACAUGAAGUCGGAAUUGCUAGUAAUCGCAGAUCAGCAUGCUGCGGUGAAUACGUUCCCGGGCCUUGUACACACCGCCCGUCACGCCAUGGGAGUCGGUAACACCCGAAGCCUGUAGUCUAACCGCAAGGAGGACGCAGUCGAAGGUGGGAUUGAUGACUGGGGUG
rnacentral:rRNA from 1 species